UAACGUCACUGCAAUGGAGUCAGCAAAAUGGAGUCAGCAACGGGUUGGUUCGUCAGGAAUGGCAUGAUCGUUCAUUCUGGAGAUUUGUCGAGGACAAAAGGUAAAGAAGAUGGUCGAGACCAACGAUUUCAACGAGAAACAGAGGCGUCAAUCUCCUGCCGAGAGAUUUAUUUAUAACGCGUGAACGCGCGUCCCCGCCUUGGUACAUUAAACCGUGCACGUAUUGACGUCUCACUUGUCGUCUUUUGCACGCAAAACGAUCUCAAUGACGAAUCGCGUGCUGCAGUUCUGGCUUUCAUCGACACCCACUACGGUACCGCCACGGAUUAUGUAAUUCGAAUAAGAAGAAGAAGAACAAGAACAAGAAUAAGAAGAAGAAGAUGAAGAGGACGAAUAACGUGGAAGGAGGAGCGAAAAAGUUGGAAGGCGAUGGAGGAGGAUCGAGAGCCAGCUUCGCCUUAGAGUCGCUGAACCGAGAGGAAUGCAAGAGUGAAAAUGGAGAGUGAAAUAGAGAAGGGAAGAGAAAGGGGGAUGGAGCACACAGCACGAGGUACCCCGAAGAAUUUGCUGGCUGUACCAGAAGCAAAAGGGCUGAGGCUAUAAACGGGUUAUGUAAGAUUGAGUAGCUGCCACGUGUCGGCGGACGUCGCAUUGCUUCUGCACUUCCUGAAUUCACUUUCGCAAUCGACAGACCUAAUGCCUUUCCAAAAGUCUGGAACGUCGAAAUCUUCCAAUUUUCAAAGUCUGUAAUCCGUCAUUCUUCUUCAAAUAGUCUUUGAAAAUGAAUGGAACAUCGUUGAAAAUAUUGUUCACUGACAACAAUGAUCUUCGAGGAUUAUAUAGACAGUAGAAUUGCUUAAAUCUUUUCAAUGUUAAGUAAUGUGGUGAUAUUCCACCGAUAUUCUAUCUUAAUUAAAAGAGAUUAAAUGACUAUAGUUUAGAAACUAAA